rnacentral:misc_RNA from 1 species
UGAGUGGUCAUAGAAAUUAUUGUUUUUUACUUUUUGUUUUCCCUGUGAAUGUUAGAGUUCAGAUAUCUUUUUAUUUUGCUUUUGAAUUUUGGAGUCAGAUCUAAGAGGGCUUUCCUAAAUUCAGAUUUUUGUUCUUAGGAAUCAAUUUGAUUGGUUGCAACUUGGAAGCAUUAGCAUACCCAUUUCGUCAGAUUCUAAAUUCUGUUUCAUUGAUUUGUUUUGUGUUUGGACUCCAAAUUGUGUUAGAUCUGCUGAUAUUGUCUUGCAAUCCACUUCUAAAAUCUGCAAGUUCUGUUGCUUUCCACAGUAUGUAGAUUUGUAUACCCAUAAAAGCAUACAAGUUUUUUCAGGCGUUGAUGUCUGGAGUUUUAUGGACACAGCGAUUCUGGUGGCUUCGUUGUAUUUCGGGGCUGAAUUGAAGCAGCGGAGAGAUAAGAUUGUUGAAAUGCUGUAUGCAUCCGGCUCGCCAAUGUGGGCAGGAUAAGUGAUGGGCAUGAAAUAAGAGAAAACAGGCAUGAAGUAAAAGGUGGAGAUGGAUGUGGAAGUGGGUCGCCUUUAACAUUCAUGUGGAUGAAGGUGAAGAAGACGACGGUGAAUUGGAUUCAUACGCAGGAUUGUUCGACGAUGAGCAGAAGAAGAUUUUAGAGAUUAAACAACAUCUUGAAGAUCCUGACCAGUCUGAAGAUUCUCUGGUGGAUUUACUUCAAUGUUUAGCAGAUAUGGAAAUAAUCUUCAAGGCACUCAAGAUAUUGGAAGACAUGUCAAUCAUUUGAGAAAGCAUCCAUCCGAUGAUGUUCGGAGAUUAGUGAAGCAACUUGUCAGGAAAUGGAAAGAAAUUGUAGAUGAAUGGGUGAGACUAAAUCCACAAGGAAAGCAAGCAUCCUCUGCUCUAAUGGGUAACAUUAUCAUACGGCAAAAUUUCUUAUAUAUAAGGAAAUGGAUUUUACUGUGAAGAUGAAGUUAGGAAUGGAAAAUUAAUGAUGGUGUUUCUGCAGCUGAUGGAGACUCCCCACAGCAGAACAUUCUCCAGAAUGGUCAUCACCAGGUGAAAUAAUCUUUUCUUGCCAGUCGCUUUGUAUGGGAAAGUUGGUGAAAAUUCCAUCUUUUGAUUGCAUUCUAAGAUUCUAUUCUUUUCUAGGUUCCUGAUUUUGCAUACUCUCCAAUUACUCACAGUGAGUGCAGAAUCAGAUUCAAAGUUGGAUUUAUUUUAUUUUUUUUAUUACAUUCUCUUCCUGCAGUUGAGUUUGAUUAAUUUGUUUGCUUCUACAUUCUAUGUUGAAUUUCCCAUGUUUUUUCAUAG